rnacentral:rRNA from 1 species
AACGAACGCUGGCGGCAUGCCUAACACAUGCAAGUCGAACGAGACCUUCGGGUCUUGGGGCGCACGGGUGCGUAACGCGUGGGAACCUGCCCUUAGGGUCGGCAUAACUCUCCGAAAGGGGUGCUAAUACCGGACAAUGUCUUCGGACCAAAGAUUUAUCGACUUUGGAUGGGCCCGCGUUGGAUUAGCUAGUUGGUAGGGUAAAAGACUACCAAGGCGACGAUCCAUAGCUGGUCUGAGAGGAUGAUCAGCCACACUGAGACUGAGACACGGCCCAGACUCCUACGGGAGGCAGGAGUGGGGGAUAUUGGAAAAUGGGCGGAAGCCUGAUGCAGCAAUGCCGGGUGAGUGAUGAAGGCAUUAGGGUUGUAAAGCUCUUUUAACCAGGAUGAUAAUGACGGUACCGGGAGAAUAAGCUCCGGCUAACUCCGUG